rnacentral:rRNA from 1 species
GACGAACGCUGGCGGCGUGCUUAACACAUGCAAGUCGAACGGAAAGGCCCUGCUUUUGUGGGGUGCUCGAGUGGCGAACGGGUGAGUAACACGUGAGUAACCUGCCCUUGACUUUGGGAUAACUUCAGGAAACUGGGGCUAAUACCGGAUAGGAGCUCCUGCUGCAUGGUGGGGGUUGGAAAGUUUCGGCGGUUGGGGAUGGACUCGCGGCUUAUCAGCUUGUUGGUGGGGUAGUGGCUUACCAAGGCUUUGACGGGUAGCCGGCCUGAGAGGGUGACCGGCCACAUUGGGACUGAGAUACGGCCCAGACUCCUACGGGAGGCAGCAGUGGGGAAUAUUGCACAAUGGGCGAAAGCCUGAUGCAGCAACGCCGCGUGCGGGAUGACGGCCUUCGGGUUGUAAACCGCUUUCGCCCGUGACGAAGCGUGAGUGACGGUAAUGGGUAAAGAAGCACCGGCUAACUACGUG